rnacentral:rRNA from 1 species
GCUGGCGGCGUGCUUAAUACAUGCAAGUCGAACGAGGUCCAUCCGAUCUUCGGAUUGGUGAAGACCUAGUGGCGAACGGGUGCGUAACACGUGAGAAACCUGCCCCGGUCUCUGGAAUAACAGUUGGAAACGACUGCUAAUACCGGAUGCCGUCGGACCAUCGCAUGGUGGACCGACGAAAGGGUUACCGGACCGGGAGGGUCUCGCGGCCUAUCAGCUUGUUGGUGAGGUAACGGCUCACCAAGGCAUCGACGGGUAGCUGGUCUGAGAGGAUGGUCAGCCACACUGGGACUGAGACACGGCCCAGACUCCUACGGGAGGCAGCAGUAGGGAAUAUUGCACAAUGGGCGAAAGCCUGAUGCAGCAACGCCGCGUGCGGGAAGAAGGCCCUAGGGUUGUAAACCGCUUUCAGCAGGGAAGAAAAUGACGGUACCUGCAGAAGAAGGUGCGGCCAACUACGUGCCAGCAGCCGCGGUGACACGUAGGCACCAAGCGUUGUCCGGAUUUAUUGGGCGUAAAGAGCUCGUAGGCGGUUCAGUUAGUCGGGUGUGAAAACUCUGGGCUUAACCCAGAGACGCCACUCGAUACUGCUGUGACUA